rfam:Salmo salar isolate Sally breed double haploid chromosome ssa01, whole genome shotgun sequence.
UGCAUUCACUACUGUAAGUCGCUCUGGAUAAGAGCGUCUGCUAAGCGACUAAAA